GAGUUUGAUCAUGGCUCAGAUUGAACGCUGGCGGCAUGCCUUACACAUGCAAGUCGAACGGUAACAGGUCUUCGGACGCUGACGAGUGGCGAACGGGUGAGUAAUACAUCGGAACGUGCCCAGUCGUGGGGGAUAACUACUCGAAAGAGUAGCUAAUACCGCAUACGAUCUGAGGAUGAAAGCGGGGGACCUUCGGGCCUCGCGCGAUUGGAGCGGCCGAUGGCAGAUUAGGUAGUUGGUGGGAUAAAAGCUUACCAAGCCGACGAUCUGUAGCUGGUCUGAGAGGACGACCAGCCACACUGGGACUGAGACACGGCCCAGACUCCUACGGGAGGCAGCAGUGGGGAAUUUUGGACAAUGGGCGAAAGCCUGAUCCAGCAAUGCCGCGUGCAGGAUGAAGGCCUUC
rnacentral:rRNA from 1 species